rfam:Myotis davidii contig53145, whole genome shotgun sequence.
AUACUUACCUGGCAGGGGAGAUACCAUGAUCACGAAGGUGGUUUUCCCAGGGCGAGGCUUAUCCAUUGCACUCCGGAUGUGCUGACCCCUGCGAUUUCCCCAAAUGUGGGAAACUCGACUGCAUAAUUUGUGGUAGUGGGGGGAAAAAAAAAAAAAUAAUACCUUAAUCUCCUG